rnacentral:lncRNA from 10 species
AGAGGGUCCAGAGAAAGGUGGGGAUUCCCUAACCCCUUCUUUCUUGGCACAGACAGGCAGAGAACACCUCUUUUCUCACCCCUGGGCAGCCCCAGGAAGUCAAUCCUUCCACUAUUCCUGCUCCGUGCCUCUCUUCCCUCUGCCCAGAUUCCUGGGAGACUCAAAACCCUGUUCAACUCUCUCUGGGCUAGCUGCUCCCCUCCCCAAGAGGAUUUCUCUCCAGAGCUGGUAUCAUCGCUUAAUGAUGUUCCACCAACAAGGGGAAGAUUCAGCCAUGUCUUCCUAGGAUCCAGCAUCCAAACCUGGACCAAAGUCCUCGGAUCCUCAGCAAUGGGGGUGCAUCUGGUGAUGGUGUUCAUGCUAAAUUUGUGCCAAGAGACACCUGUACUUGUGGGAGAAUUAAUAUUUCACUUCUGUUUAGGUUUCUUUUCUGGGAGCUGCUAUCACUGAAUACAUAAAGAAAUUGAGCCUAUAUGAUUUCAAUCUUCACCUUCUGAUGCUGAUGAAACAGGAUUCUAUGCAGUUUACAGGGGGCCUGGAGGAAUGAAUCAGUGGCAGUGAGUGACAGAGUGGUCUCAGCAGGAAGAGGUGGAGGCAACGCUGGGAUUUGGAAAUGCCUCUUUUUCCACAGGGAGAAGCAGCAGGCUGAAGUGGCUCUUUAGGGAGACACAUACCUCCACAGGAAGAGCAGUCUAGAUUGUUUUAGCACAUUCCACUUAAGGAUUGCAGUGUGACAGCAGAGAAAAUCCUCUCCAGUCAAGUAAUUGCAUCCAUUUCAUCUUCCCAGCCCUCCUCUAGAUGGGAGGUGGAGGUGUGUGUACCAAUCUCUUAAUUCAGAAAUGAGACAAGAGGAGGAAAAAGGAGUUCCGGAGGACAGUGGGGACCCCAGCCAGAGCCUGGGGACUUGGCUGCCUUGGAACCAGAACCUGGCCCCUCAGAGGAGUUGCAGAAUUUCGAUAGAGGAGUGGCAGGAGGUGUACUGGCUGAAGAGGAGGCCCAAGGAACUCCUUUUCAUACAUCAAAACUGAGCUUAUCACCUCUACCCUGAAGUCAUCCUGGACAUCACUGGUCCCAGUUAAUCACUCACUUAUCUUUGCCAUCCUUGACCUGGGAAGAGAACGUUGCCCUCAUUGGUCUGGAAUCAGCAGGUACCUCAUGGCUGGAGGUGUAUUUUCAGACUCCUUUGGCAUCUGGUGAGGCCUGUGGAUUCAUUCUCAGAAUCACAUUUUUAAAUGCACAUAAUAAAAUACAUAGAAUUGCAAAGGAAGUUAAUUAUAUUGAAAUACAGUUAUCAAAAAUAUAAAUAAAACAAGUAUGUGGUACAGUCAUAUGUGUGCUUCUUUAUUAAGUCAUUACAAAGCAAGAUCUAUUUGGAGGUCUAAUAACUGUCAUAUGCUUGAAAAAAUCCUUAACAAUCAUAAUAUAUUAAAAAAUCUGAUUUCUACUUUGGCAAAUCAUAGAUAUUGCUGAAACUGUGGUUUAUUGCCUGCAUUCAUAAUUGAAGGAAAUGCUAGAGUUCAGUGAGAAGGUUGUGAAAAUAAAGAGAGCCUUUUUUUCUCAUCAAG